rnacentral:rRNA from 1 species
GUGUCAGCCGCCGCGGUAAUGCGUAGGGUGCAAGCGUUAAUCGGAAUUACUGGGCGUAAAGCGUGCGCAGGCGGCUUUGCAAGACAGAUGUGAAAUCCCCGGGCUCAACCUGGGAACUGCAUUUGUGACUGCAUGGCUAGAGUGCGGCAGAGGGGGAUGGAAUUCCGCGUGUAGCAGUGAAAUGCGUAGAUAUGCGGAGGAACACCGAUGGCGAAGGCAGCCCCCUGGGAUAACACUGACGCUCAUGCACGAAAGCGUGGGGAGCAAACAGGAUUAGAAACCCUCGUAGUCC